UACAGAGACUGCGAGCGUUAUUCGGAUUCACUGGGCGUAAAGGGUGCGCAGGCGGCCAAGUGUGUUAGGCGUGAAAGCCCGGGGCUUAACCUCGGAAUUGCACCUAAAACUACUUGGCUAGAGCAUUGGAGAGGGUAGCGGAAUUCACGGUGUAGCAGUGAAAUGCGUAGAUAUCGAUGAGGAACACCAGAGGCGAAGGCGGCUACCUGGACAAUUGCUGACGCUCAGGCACGAAAGCCGUGGGGAGCAAAAGGG
rnacentral:rRNA from 1 species